rnacentral:rRNA from 1 species
UACGUAGGUGGCAAGCGUUGUCCGGAUUUAUUGGGUUUAAAGGGUGCGUAGGCGGCUUAUUAAGUCAGUGGUGAAAUACUCUAGCUCAACUAGAGGGGUGCCAUUGAUACUGAUGAGCUUGAGUACAGAUGAGGUAGGCGGAAUUGACGGUGUAGCGGUGAAAUGCUUAGAUAUCGUCAAGAACACCUAUAGCGAAGGCAGCUUACUAGGCUGUAACUGACGCUGAGGCACGAAAGUGUGGGGAUCAAGCAGG